rnacentral:rRNA from 1 species
GACGAACGCUGGCGGCGUGCUUAACACAUGCAAGUCGAACGGAAAGGCCCUGCUUUUGUGGGGUGCUCGUGUGGCGAACGCGUGAGUAACACGCGUGUAACCUCCCCUUGACUUUGGGAUAACUUCAGGAAACUGGGGCUAAUACCGCGUAGGAGCUCCUGCUCCACGGGGGGGGUUGGAAAGAUUCGGCGGUUGGGGAUGGACUCGCUGCUUACCAGCUUGUUGGUGGGGUAGUGGCUUUCGAAGGCUUUGACGGGUACCCGGCCUGGGAGGGUGACCGGGCACAUUGGGACUGAGAUAGGGACCAGACGCGUACGGGAGGCAGCGGGGGGAAGUAUUGCGCAACGGGGGGAAGCCUGAUACAACGACGCCGGGAGCGUGAUAACGGCCUACGGGUUAAAAACAGAUUUCGAAUGAGACGAAGAGUGAGCGACGGUAAUGGGUAAGAAAGCACCGGCUAACUACGUG